rnacentral:lncRNA from 1 species
GCCCCCGAGUCCACAUGUCCCCUGCAGGAAGCUCAACACCGGACGCUGCAGCCCCUGCAGACCCCUCCACCCAGCUGUUUCUCCUUCAGAUGCGAAAAGAGAGAUCGCAGGAAUCCAUGCCCAGAUCCAGCCUAACUCGGUCCACAGGCAGAGAGAGAAUUAUGAAUGGAUGCUGCCUUCUGAUGAGGAAGUCGACUGGGGAGGUCUCUGCGCACGGCGCGCUCCAUCAAAGCAGAGGCAUUGGCCCCUCCACUGCUUCAGUGCUGCAGGCUGAGCCACCUAAUUGACCACUGGGAAAUCAGGUGCCGGGAGACCUGGGCGGGACGUAGCCCCGGGGCCACGCGGGGAUCCAGAGCCUUGCUGGCGUAGACAGCUUCGAUUUACAGCCCAGUGAAUGGAAGGGACUGCGGCAGCCAAACCUCCCGGGCAGCAGGCACGGCUGCACCAACGCUCUGUAGACCGCCGCCAGGCUCCGCGAACAUCUCCUGGCUCCACUGGGCUAACGGGGACCUGGCUAAAAAGAGUCUGUCCCCUGCCGCCAGUCGCAGUGAGCUGCAGGACUCAGUCCUCAGCCUAAACUCGGCAGCACACGGGAGCCGGCCACCAAACCCUGUCUGUGGGCUUAGGCAAGCUAGGGGCUGCGGAGGAUCCCGGAUCCGGAUUUCUUGUACCUGUGCGUUUCCUUCUCCGGUAGCGCGACCGCUGGGGCUGCGUGUUACCCAUGCCCAGAGUGGCAGCAGUCUCCGCACAUCACCAACAGGCUGGACCAACCACAGCUGCUCAGCACCGCACCCCGUGGCUUCCCUCUUACUCCCCUUGUCCCCAGUCUCUGGACAACAGCAGAGGAAUCGGAGACACUGACUGUGUCAAGCCUUCCAUGCCGGGAAGGAGGGUGGACAGAGACUGCCUUAGAGCCUGUGCCCGCAUGUAGCAGGACUACAGCGGCCCCCAAAAUGUGACAUUGUGUCCCCCUCCUUCAUCUCCGGACUCUGAAGCUUCACAUCCUAGACACAACUCACUCUGCUCAGGCUUAAAAAUCACUGCAAGGACAAUGCCUUUGCAGCCAUGUAUUAAUCUCCAGGGAAGGAUGAUUUGCUACACCAGUUCUGAGGUUGAACUAGGAUUAAAAACCAUGGCAGUGUGUGCCCAUGCCUGAGGCUGGCAGGGUCUAUAGAUAACAACCGAAUGCAGAGGGCAGUCAUUUAGGGCUGCUUAAAACACAACACGUAUGGGAUACAGGCUAAUAUAUAUAUAUAUAUAUAUAUAUAUAUAUAUAUAUAUAGCAAGAGCUAAACCAGUUAAAUUAUCCUAAGAUGUCUUGUGAAAUGCUCUUUUUUGGGUAGUUUGUCUUGAGGCCUCUGGAACCCAUUUAGGGAUACAUGACUAUUUUCUGACUGGGCUACCCAUUUUCCAAUAGGGAGGUUUACAUCUUGGGAAAAUUUGCAUGUCUGGGCAGUACUGUGUCCAUGUAGCCUGUAACUCCUCCAUAAUUCACACCUAUGGUGAAAUACUUGUUUUGCCAAGGUCACAAAUCACAGGGUUUGCAAGGAGCACUGGUAACAGAUAUUUCCUAAUCGGCAUUAGUAUGAAUGAAUGAUUGGGGGCACAUAAAGUAUCACACUGAACCCAAGUCAGUCUGGGUUGGCUGUUCUCCUCCAACCCCACCUAUGCCAACCUCCUUGUAGGGCUGCCAGCUUCCAGCAAGGACAGAGAACCUGGCUGGAAUCCUCUUGGAAGGUAGUGUGGCUAGGACAGGAAGGAUGGGGUGAGAGGAGAAAGCACAGUCAGUUUCCCAGUGGGGAUGAGAUGAAAGCCAUGAACCCCAAAGCUUAAGGGGUAGAUGGGCAAAGGAAAAGGCUGCUAGAGAGGAAGAGAGAAAAUGAGUCAGAGGAGGAAACCAGGAAGGAAGGGGCAUGGGCCCCAUCUCAGAAACCAGGAGAUGAGGACUUCCAAAAAGGCGGCAAGGGUGCCCAAGAAUGCUGAAUGCUAGGGAGAGCUCAGCGGGAGUUAGGGCCAGUCUGGGCCCCUAAGGCUUUGGGAAAGCCUGGGGCACUGGCUACUGAUGGGAGGUGUAGCGUGGCUGGGAAGCCUGGUGGGAGCAGCAGCAGCACCAGGAGCUUUUCACCUAUGCACAUUGUCAGAUGGAGCUCAGACAUGCUGAAUUACACCAGGGGUAAUGCUCUCGGACCAACUUCACUUGGGGAGCUGGGAGGCCCCACCUUGUAUGGGCUCAGACUUCUCCCACCUUGAAAUGAGAAUUUAUGUUAAAGUGAGCAAAAUGGCUGCCCUCUCUCGCAAUCCCUGGCAAGAUCAUGGAGAGCUAGCGGUGGCCAAGUCACUAAUCACACAUCCCAAGAAGAUAAAGUGCCUUGCUCGGGGUUUUCAGGGCUGCUCUACAAUGAGAGAGCCUUGACAAUGAGGUCUGCCGAACUCCAAAAAAGCAAUGAAAAUGGCCUGGCCAAGUGUUCUCCCUUUCAUACUGGUAUUUGCAAUGAAGUAGUUGCUAACAAUGAUGGUGGAAAUAAUAUAAACAGAUUGUUUAAAUGCAGCAAAUUCUGUUGAUUAAAGGCAAAAAAGAAAACAUGGGUUUUAGACCCAUACAGAACUGUGUUUGAAUCUUAGCUCCUCCAGCACUCAACAGUGUAGCCUUGAGAAAACUGACUUCUCAGAA